AAUUCAACGCCAUUCCAUUUCGGUGCUCUUUCUUCGGCUCUGGCAUCUUUGUUCCUUCUUUCAACUUCACAAUUCCGGUUCCGGUUUGGUUUUUCACCAAAGAUUUCACGGAUGCUUCAUCCAUAUCCCAGGCUCGCCCGACAAACUCAGCAGAAAAACCAGUGAAGAUUCCAUUAGCGCCGGUUAGGAAGAAGUCAGUAAACUCACCUGAUUUGUGAGCCUUUGAUGUGUCGCCUAAGAACAAAACCACCAAUUCGGUAGCUUCUUUGUUGAACCACCACGUCACCACGCCAAAUGGAAGAGCAAUUGCAUCUCCUUUCUUGAUUGCGAUCACCUUCUCCUCCUUUUCUGGCAGAAUGAUUCCGGCUACUCCAUUACCUUGAAGAACAUAAGCGACUUUAGCGGAAUCAGAAUAACGAGGGAGAGCAAAGCCAUUCUUCUCGAGAGCAAGUUUGG
rnacentral:misc_RNA from 1 species